rnacentral:rRNA from 1 species
ACACGACUACAUUAGAUACCCGGGUAGUCCUAGCCGUAAACGAUACUCGCUAGGUGUCGGCCACGGUGCGACCGUUGUCGGCGCCGUAGGGAAGCCGUGAAGCGAGCCACCUGGGAAGUACGGCCGCAAGGCUGAAACUUAAAGGAAUUGGCGGGGGAGCACAACAACGGGUGGAGCUUGCGGUUUAAUUGGAUUCAACGCCGGAAAUCUUACCGGGACCGACAGCAACAUGAAGGCCAAGCUGAAGACUUUGCCGGAUUAGCUG